rnacentral:rRNA from 1 species
AUACGUAGGUGGCGAGCGUUGUCCGGAAUUAUUGGGCGUAAAGAGCAUGUAGGCGGUUUUUAAGUCCGGAGUGAAAAUGCGGGGCUCAACCCCGUAUGGCUCUGGAUACUGGAAGACUUGAGUGCAGGAGAGGAAAGUGGAAUUCCUAGUGUAGCGGUGAAAUGCGUAGAUAUUAGGAGGAACACCAGUAGCGAAGGCGGCUUUCUGGACUGUAACUGACACUGAGGCACGAAAGCGUGGGGAGC